rnacentral:rRNA from 1 species
UACGUAGGGCGCAAGCGUUGUCCGGAAUUAUUGGGCGUAAAGAGCUCGUAGGCGGUUUGUCGCGUCUGCUGUGAAAACCCGGAGCUUAACCUCGGGCCUGCAUUCGAUACGGGCUGACUAGAGUUCGGGUAGGGGAGACUGGAAUUCCUGGUGUAGCGGUGAAAUGCGCAGAUAUCAGGAGGAACACCGGUGGCGAAGGCGGGUCUCUGGGCCGAUACUGACGCUGAGGAGCGAAAGCGUGGGGAGCAAACGGG